AUCUAGCUGAUGAGUCUCAAAUAGGACGAAACGCGUGUCAAACUAGAU
rfam:Schistosoma mattheei strain Denwood, Zambia genome assembly, scaffold: SMTD_scaffold0002013